rnacentral:tRNA from 2 species
GCGAAAGUGGGGGAACUGGUAGACCCGCUGGAUUUAGGUUCCAGUGCCGCAAGGCGUGAGAGUUCGAGUCUCUCCUUUCGCACCA